UAUAAAUAAGGAUUUCAACAGAUAAUUAUUCAUAUAUAAGGUUUGAAUAAAAUAUAGAUGUCAGUUUACUUAUUUUAUUUCAAUUUGUACUAAAAUAACAUAGCUCAUAGAAUCCAGAUAGUGUGACUGCAUCAUCUUGUUUAUUGACUACUGAUUUUAAACCAGGAUGUACAUGAGGAUUUGGGUGAACAAGGGUUGAAAUCAAAACUAUUUCUCAGCACUUCUAUAUUCUUUAAUAAAAUGAAAAAAAUCAGAAAGAAAGCCAUCGAUAGAUCCAACAAAUCCCUUCACAGCCUUAAUAGUUUGGUUUUACUUAAUGAAAUAUUAACAAUUUGCUGAAUGUAAUAUAUAGAAUGAAUGCCUGGUUCCCCUUUAAAUAUUAUACAUUUUAAAAUCAGGAAAGGAAAAAGGCACUUGGUCUUACUUGAAACUGAUGCACAGCACUGAUCAUAAACUAUGACAAGGAAUAUAAAACACAACAGAAGAUGGUUGGGCACCAAAUAUCUACAAAAAAGGGAAGGGAAGUCUUUAAAAAAAUAGGACAAGGCCUUAUGCCCUCUCAUUUUCUCCAUCUGGAAACUCUGAUCGGUAGACUACCCAAUCUUAUUUUUUAAUGUUUCUCUUACAAAGAUGUAAUUAUAAUAAAAAAACAAAUCAGUAUAUGCAGAGUAUAAAGAAUUAUAAACUUUAAAUGAAAAAGAACUUCAAGCGAGAUUGCACUUCAAGAAACAGUAUAGUAUGAUCAUUGAUAGUUUCAAUGACUG
rnacentral:lncRNA from 1 species